ACUCCUACGGGAGGCAGCAGUGGGGAAUAUUGCACAAUGGGGGAAACCCUGAUGCAGCCAUGCCGCGUGUGUGAAGAAGGCCUUCGGGUUGUAAAGCACUUUCAGUGGGGAGGAAAGGUUGAUGGUUAAUACCUAUCAGCUGUGACGUUACCCACAGAAGAAGCACCGGCUAACUCCGUGCCAGCAGCCGCGGUAAUACGGAGGGUGCAAGCGUUACUCGGAAUCACUGGGCGUAAAGAGCGUGUAGGCGGAUAGAUAAGUCAGGAGUGAAAUCCUAUGGCUCAACCAUAGAACUGCUCUUGAAACUGUCAAUCUAGAAUGUGGGAGAGGUAGAUGGAAUUUCUGGUGUAGGGGUAAAAUCCGUAGAGAUCAGAAGGAAUACCGAUUGCGAAGGCGAUCUACUGGAACAUAAUUGACGCUGAGACGCGAAAGCGUGGGGAGCAAACAGGGAUUAGAUACCCUGGUAGACUGUCAU
rnacentral:rRNA from 1 species